UAGGGAAUCUUCCGCAAUGGACGCAAGUCUGACGGAGCAACGCCGCGUGAGUGAAGAAGGAUUUCGGUUCGGAAAACUCUGUUGUUAGAGAAGAACAGCGCAUAGAGUAACUGUUAUGCGUGUGACGGUAUCUAACCAGAAAGCCACGGCUAACUACGUGCCAGCAGCCGCGGUAAUACGUAGGUGGCAAGCGUUGUCCGGAUUUAUUGGGCGUAAAGCGAGCGCAGGCGGUCAAUUAAGUCUGAUGUGAAAGCCCCCGGCUCAACCGGGGAGGGUCAUUGGAAACUGGUUGACUUGAGUGCAGAAGAGGAGAGUGGAAUUCCAUGUGUAGCGGUGAAAUGCGUAGAUAUAUGGAGGAACACCAGUGGCGAAGGCGACUCUCUGGUCUGUAACUGACGCUGAGGCUCGAAAGCGUGGGUAGCAAACAGG
rnacentral:rRNA from 1 species